rnacentral:tRNA from 1 species
GCCUUCGUGGUGCAAUGGUCAGCACACUCGGCAGACGAUUCGAGAGGUCUGAGGUUCGAGUCCCGGCGAGGGCA